AGGAUGGACCCGCGGUGCAUUAGUUAGUUGGUGAGGUAAAGGCUCACCAAGACCGUGAUGCAUAGCCGACCUGAGAGGGUAAUCGGCCCACACUGGGACUGAGACACGGCCCAGACUCCUACGGGAGGCAGCAGUAGGGAAUCUUCCACAAUGGACGAAAGUCUGAUGGAGCAACGCCGCGUGAGUGAAGAAGGUUUUCGGAUCGUAAAACUCUGUUGUUGGAGAAGAAUGUAUCUGAUAGUAACUGAUCAGGUAGUGACGGUAUCCAAUCAGAAAGCCACGGCUAACUACGUG
rnacentral:rRNA from 1 species